rnacentral:rRNA from 1 species
AUGGGUUUGGACCAGGCUCAAGAUAGUAGGGGUUUGACCAUCGCGGAGAUCGCGCUGCGGGUGUUCCUGAAGCUUAAGUUUCUGGGUUUGGCUGCAGUCCAGCGUAUCCGCAUCAGACAACGCUCCAGGUUGUUUUGGCUCCGCGCAGGUGAUGCUCACUCAAAGCUUUUCUUCAUUAAGGCCAAUGGCCGAAGGCGCAGAAAUUUCAUUCCCUUGCUGGAAACUGAUCACGGCCAAUUAACCCUGCAAGUUGACAAGCAACAAGAGCUUUUGAACCACUUCUCUGCAUCUAUAGGCACUUCGCGGGUGAGAGAGAAAACUCUGAACUGGGACUAUUUGGGGCUGCCUACCCAUGAUCUGACCUCUCUGGAAGCUCCAUUCUCUGCAAACGAGGUUCGUGUCGCGGUCAUGUCACUACCUUCUGGCAAGGCUCCGGGUCCGGACGGAUUUACGACUAGUUUUUUCAAGAGCUGUUGGGAUCUGAUUGGUCCAGAUGUCACGGCCGCACUGAAUCAGUUAUUUAAUCUUAGGGGUAAGAGAUGGAAUCUCCUCAACUCUGCACACAUAACCUUAAUCCCCAAGUCAGAUGAUGUUGUCCGUGUUAAGGACUUCCGCCCCAUAAGUUUGAUGCAUUCAGUGGCUAAGAUUCUGUGUAAAACACUCUCUCUCAGGCUUGCACCCUUCCUC